GCCCGGAUAGCUCAGUCGGUAGAGCAUUAGGCUUUUAACCUAAGGGUCCAGGGUUCAAGUCAUCAGUCCGUGGCA